rnacentral:rRNA from 1 species
GUCGAGGAUCUUUCGCAAUGGGCGAAAGCCUGACGGAGCGACGCUGUGUGAGUGAUGAAGGCCUUCGGGUCGUAAAACUCUUUUGCCUGUGAACAAGAAAGAUUCGUGAAUAACGAGUUAAUUUGAGAGUAGCAGGAGAAAAAGCACCGGCUAACUACGUGCCAGCAGCUGCGGUAAUACGUAGGGUGCAAGCAUUAAUCGGAAUUAUUGGGCGUAAAGGGCGCGUAGGCGGAUUGAUAAGUCAGAUGUGAAAUACCAAAGCUCAACUUUGGUGCUGCAUUUGAAACUGUCUCUCUAGAGGAUUGACGGAGAAAGGGGAAUUCCACGUGUAGCGGUGAAAUGCGUAGAUACGUGGAGGAACACCGGUGGCGAAAGCGCCUUUCUAGUUUAGACCUGACGCUGAGGCGCGAGAGCAAGGGGAGCAAACAGGAUUAGAAACCCGGGUAGUCC